rnacentral:rRNA from 1 species
CGUCUAGUACAUGCCGAAAUAAGGCGAAACCGCGAAUGGCUCAUUAAAUCAGUUAUGGUUCCUUAGAUCGUUUCUUCCUACUUGGAUAACUGUGGCAAUUCUAGAGCUAAUACAUGCAGUGAGCCUGGAGCCCUUUGGGUAACGGGUGCUUUUAUUAGACCAAGAUCGAUCGGGUUUCGGCCCGUAUUGUGUGGUGACUCUGGAUAACUUUGUGCUGAUCGCAUGGCCACGAGCCGGCGACGUUUCUUUCAAGUGUCUGCCUUAUCAACUUUCGAUGGUAGGUUACUUGCUUACCAUGGUUGUUACGGGUAACGGAGAAUCAGGGUUCGAUUCCGGAGAGGGAGCCUGAGAAACGGCUACCACAUCCAAGGAAGGCAGCAGGCGCGCAAAUUACCCACUCCCGGCACGGGGAGGUAGUGACGAAAAAUAACAAUACGGGACUCUUUUGAGGCCCCGUAAUUGAAAUGAGUACACUCUAAAUCCUUUAACGAGGAUCAAUUGGAGGGCAAGUCUGUCCCCAGCAGCCA